rnacentral:rRNA from 1 species
CCUACGGGAGGCAGCAGUGGGGAAUAUUGCACAAUGGGGGAAACCCUGAUGCAGCAACGCCGCGUGAAGGAAGACGGUUUUCGGAUUGUAAACUUCUGUUCUUAGUGAAGAAUAAUGACGGUAGCUAAGGAGCAAGCCACGGCUAACUCCGUGCCAGCAGCCGCGGUAAUACGGGGGAUGCGAGCGUUAUCCGGAUUUAUUGGGUUUAAAGGGUGCGUAGGCGGCGCUUCAGGUCAGCGGUGAAAUACCGGGGCUCAACCCCGGGGCUGCCGUUGAAACCGGAGCGCUAGAAUUCCGAUGCCGUCGGAGGAAUGUGUGGUGUAGCGGUGAAAUGCAUAGAUAUCACACAGAACACCGAUUGCGAAGGCAUCUGACGAAUCGGAGAUUGACGCUGAUGCACGAAAGCGUGGGUAUCGAACAGGAUUAGAUACCCGAGUAGUC